GUUGCAGCACAUCUGCAGCCGGGCAUCUCAACCCCGAACAUCCAGACGACGCAUAACACGCGCCAGCGUGUUUUUU
rnacentral:sRNA from 1 species